rnacentral:tRNA from 1 species
GAGGGUAUAGCUCAAGUGGUAGAGUGCUUGCUUAGCAUGCAUGAGGUCCUGGGUUCAAUCCCUAGGAACUCCU